AGGCUCUGACGCACUUCAAAAUGGUUCCUCUUCUCCUGUUGCUGCUGAAAGAAUAGGGGGAUUUUCCUCUAUUACUUAAAGUGAGAAACUGCAUGAGCUCCUGGAAGUAAAACUCACUAACCUGUGGGAGCUCCCCCACCAUGACUGGGUUCCCCUGGAGUUUUUCAAUGUCAGAACGGUCCACACUGAGCCUCCAGCAAUUCGUCAGUUCCAGUUUGGUGUUUCCUCCUGCAGCUGGUUCCCUUGCCAGUUUCUGUGCAUGAGACAGCUCAGGCCAACUCCAUUUAUUUACUAGAUACUAUAUUAUGUAAAUCAGGAUAUAGAAAAGUAUCAGAUGAAAGUCAACAAAAACAUGCCUUCUGAAUCCAGGCAGGAUAUAUAUGAAUGUGGUGAUCACAGUUGACUCACCAGGUGACCUUCAAUACAAUAUAUUAAAAACUGAAGACAUUGGAAAUUAUUUUUUCUUUUCAAACUCAGAAGAAAGCUGAUUUCUUAAGUAGAAUGUUAGUUGCAUAUUUUUAUCUCUUUCCAGACUUAAGAUGCUCCUAUUUGGCAUAUUUUUAAGAUUUACUUUAAUCGUCAUCUGUGUUUGCUUUAUCAAUUAUUUCAAUGUUUUAUUUAGCAAAAAGAUCUUGUUGAUUUUUUAUUCUCAAUAUGCUGAAUUACUUUGAAUAAUUUUUGAGUGUUAACUAAUUUGAAUUUUUUCUAGUAAACCCCAUAUAGUAAUGAAAUAUUUAUGGAUUGUGUUGCAUCAUAGUUUAUUUGGAAUUUUUGUGUUCAUGUAAAUAGAACAUAUUGCCUUUACAUUUUUUUCCUGUCAGAUGUUUGUUAAUGGCUAUUUUCUGUGUAUACUGUGUUCUAUCUCUUUCGGUAAAGAGUCCAUGUGUUCUUGAAAAGAACAUGUUGGACAUGGUGUCACUAAAGGACCUUCUUAGCAAUUACCUAGAUGAUUUGACAGUUGAGCAGAUGUGGAUUACUGGUUUUUAGCAAAGUUUAAAGCCUGAUUCUUCAAUGCUGACACAA